rnacentral:lncRNA from 1 species
GGGAAGGGAGGUGGACUGCGAGUAAAUGAAGGGAAAGUGUUAGUGGCAAACUGCUGGGUGGUGAAAGAGCCUCUAUUAAGGGAAGAGGCGGGGGGUGUGUGCAGGGAGAGAGGGGAAUCGGCAUAGAAAAGGAGCACAUCUGACACGUGGGUCUCCCUCUCAGACUUCUGUCUGUACCCAGUGAUGUUGAGCAAAUGCUGGGGGCAAGGAGGGUGUGCCCUAGGUAUCCCCAGCUGUGUCGCAUGGGGGAUGCAGCAUCUUAAACCAUAACAGUGAGUUCCUACAGGCCUAGAUCCAGGGUGGACAGAGGCCUGGCAGAAGAUAGAACCAUCUACUGCAACACUGGGACAACAGCGGGAUCAGACCCUACGAUUGUCCAGAUGACACUGAGCUCUUUUACCCCUUUUUUGUUCUAAAACGAAAAUCCUGGACCAGAAAUAUUUCCCCGUUUUGCAGAGACCGAGGCAGCUGGUCAGCUUGACAGGCGGAAACUGCAGCUUUCUCGUUAAUGUGCAAUCCUGAAACGCACUUCUACUCUAUGUGCAUGUCAAGUCUCUCUCUCAUAACGAUAAUUGUGACUGCAUUUAGGACCCGCUUGGAUAAUCUCCACAUCAGAAGAGCCUUGCGUUAGUCACAUCUGCAAUUUCUUUUCAUAUAAGGUAAGAUUCACGGGCUUUAGGGAUGCAGACCUGGAUAUGGGGGCUGAGUGGGUGGGAUGGGUACAUCAGCUUACAACACUGUCUUUUGGAUUUUUGAGUGGGAGGAAAGAAGGAAGAAAAACACGGAAAGGGAAGAUGGUACCUUUUAUAUGAAGUGAAAUUAUAUGCAAAUUUAUCAUCCAGUUUUUUUUCCAAGUUGACAACUGAGAAAACAAGAUAAUAGAAUUAGUAGAUAAAGCACUUGGAUAUAUAUAGUCCUGUUUUUUGAAAUUUGGUUGUAUUUAUAGUCAAUUUUGUUACAUAAGAUCUUCUGAUUUUAUAACUAAGGAACAUAAGCUGGUUCUGGAUGUAAUUAUAUCCAUACAAUAAGGAAUUAUUUAAUAGGAUUUUAAUGUAUUUAUCUAGCUUUUGUCCCCUACGUACUAAAUGCUUCUCAUAUAUAGCCUUGAGCUAUUAGCUAACUUUUCACACCGAUUGCCUCUUAACUCAAUUAUAUAUUCUUUGAGAUUAAAAAA